rnacentral:rRNA from 1 species
GUCCUUUUGAUUUUUAUAUAAGGUCUAACCUGCCCAAUGAUUAACUUUAAAUGGCCGCGGUACCCUGACCGUUGCAAAGGUAGCAUAAUAAUUAGUUUUUUAAUUGAAAGCUGGAAUGAAAGGUUGAAUAAGAAAACGACUGUCUCUUAAAAAUUUUUAUUAGAACUUUAUUUUUAAGUAAAAAAGCUUAAAUUAUAUUUAAAGACGAGAAGACCCUUUAGAGUUUUAUAUAAUGUAUUAUUCUUUUUUUUUUAGUAUUAACUUAAUUGAGUAUAGUAUUUAUAUUUGGUUGGGGUGAUUGAAAAAUUUAAAAAACUUUUUUUAUUAUAAACCAUUAAUAUAUGAUUAUAUGAUCCAUUAUUUUUUGAUUAUAAGAAUAAAUUACCUAAGGGAUAACAGCGUUAUUUUUUUUGAGAGUUCAUAUCGAAAAAAAAGAUUGCGUCCCUCGAUGUUGGAUUAAAAUUAAAUUACGGUGCAGGAGCUGUAACUUUAGGUCUGUUCGACCUUUGAAAUUUUACA